CCUACGGGGGGCAGCAGUGAGGAAUAUUGGUCAAUGGACGAGAGUCUGAACCAGCCAAGUAGCGUGAAGGAUGACUGCCCUAUGGGUUGUAAACUUCUUUUACAUGGGAAUAAAAUGUUCCACGUGUGGGAUUUUGUAUGUACCAUAUGAAUAAGGAUAGGCUAACUCCGCGCCAGCAGCCGCGGUAAUACGGAGGAUCCGAGCGUUAUCCGGAUUUAUUGGGUUUAAAGGGAGCGUAGGUGGAGUGUUAAGUCAGUUGUGAAAGUUUGGGGCUCAACCGUAAAAUUGCAGUUGAAACUGGCAGUCUUGAGUACAGUAGAGGUGGGCGGAAUUCGUGGUGUAGCGGUGAAAUGCUUAGAUAUCACGAAGAACUCCGAUUGCGAAGGCAGUUCACUGGACUGCAACUGACACUGAGGCUCGAAAGUGUGGGUAUCAAACAGGAUUAGAUACCCUUGUAGUC
rnacentral:rRNA from 1 species